rnacentral:rRNA from 1 species
GUGAAAUCUCCCGGCUCAACUGGGAGGGUGCGCCGAAAACUGGAGGGCUAGAGUACUGGAUGGGAGAGUGGAAUUCCUGGUGUAGCGGUGAAAUGCGUAUGAUAUCAGGAGGAACACCUGUGGUGUAGACGGCUUCUCUGGACAGUAACUGACGCUGAGACACGAAAGCGUGGGUAGCAAACAGGAUUAGAUACCCUGGUAGUCCACGCCCUAAACGAUGCAUAUUUGGUGUGGGUCAUUCAUUUGAUCCGUGCCGGAGCUAACGCGUUAAAUAUGCCGCCUGGGGAGUACGGUCGCAAGGCUGAAACUCAAAGGAAUUGAUCGGGGGCCCGCACAAGCGGUGGAGCAUGUGGUUCAAUUCGACGCAACGCGAAGAACCUUACCUGGGCUCGAACGGCUCACGAACGUCCUUGGAAACAGGGAUUUCCCGCAAGGGACGGGAGUCGAGGUGCUGCA